CCUACGGGUGGCAGCAGUGAGGAAUAUUGGUCAAUGGGCGAGAGCCUGAACCAGCCAAGUCGCGUGAGGGAGUACUGCCCUAUGGGUUGUAAACCUCUUUUGUCGGGGAGCAAAAGCCGGACGUGUCCGGCUGUGAGAGUACCCGAAGAAAAAGCAUCGGCUAACUCCGUGCCAGCAGCCGCGGUAAUACGGAGGAUGCGAGCGUUAUCCGGAUUUAUUGGGUUUAAAGGGUGCGCAGGCGGAUUUUUAAGUCAGCGGUAAAAUCGUGGGGCUCAACCCCAUCCAGCCGUUGAAACUGGGGAUCUAGAGUGUGCGAGAGGUAUGCGGAAUGAGUGGUGUAGCGGUGAAAUGCAUAGAUAUCACGCAGAACCCCGAUUGCGAAGGCAGCAUACCGGUGCACAACUGACGCUCAGGCACGAAAGCGUGGGUAUCGAACAGGAUUAGAUACCCUGGUAGUC
rnacentral:rRNA from 1 species